GCGGAAGUAGUUCAGUGGUAGAACAUCACCUUGCCAUGGUGGGGGUCGCGGGUUCGAAUCCCGUCUUCCGCUCUA
rnacentral:tRNA from 38 species